rnacentral:rRNA from 1 species
UGGUGAUGAUGGCGAAGAGGUCACACCCGUUCCCAUGCCGAACACGGAAGUUAAGCUCUUCAGCGCCGAUGGUAGUCGGGGGUUUCCCCCUGUGAGAGUAGGACGCCGCCAAGCU